rnacentral:tRNA from 1 species
CGCCUCGUAGCUCAAAUGGUUAGCAAUUUGGCUGUAUUCAACCUUACCCUUGCUCACGUGGGUUCGAAUCCCACCGAGGCUG